AUACGUAGGUGGCAAGCGUUAUCCGGAUUUACUGGGCAUAAAGGGAGCGUAGGCGGAUUUUUAAGUGAGAUGUGAAAUACUCGGGCUUAACCUGAGUGCCGCAUUUCAAACUGGAAGUCUAGAGUGCAGGAGAGGAGAAGGGAAUUCCUAGUGUAGCGGUGAAAUGCGUAGAGAUUAGGAAGAACACCAGUGGCGAAGGCGCUUCUCUGGACUGUAACUGACGCUGAGGCUCGAAAGCGUGGGGAGC
rnacentral:rRNA from 1 species